GAUUCUGGCUCAGGAUGAACGCUAGCUACAGGCUUAACACAUGCAAGUCGAGGGCAGCAUGUGGUGCUGCAACCAAUGAUGGCGACCGGCGCACGGGUGAGUAACGCGUAUCCAACCUUCCCUAUAGUAGAGGAUAGCCCGGCGAAAGUCGGAUUAAUACUCUAUGUUUUCCAAUGCAGACAUCUAAAAUGGAACAAAGGUUUACCGCUAUAGGAUGGGGAUGCGUCUGAUUAGAUAGUCGGCGGGGUAACGGCCCACCGAGUCGACGAUCAGUAGGGGUUCUGAGAGGAAGGUCCCCCACAUUGGAACUGAGACACGGUCCAAACUCCUACGGGAGGCAGCAGUGAGGAAUAUUGGUCAAUGGGCGAGAGCCUGAACCAGCCAAGUAGCGUGCAGGAUGACGGCCCUAUGGGUUGUAAACUGCUUUUAUACAGGGAUAAAGUGACGUACGUGUACGUUAUUGUAGGUACUGUAUGAAUAAGGACCGGCUAAUUCCGUGCCAGCAGCCGC
rnacentral:rRNA from 1 species